AGACCCGAAACCCGGUGAUCUAGCCAUGGGCAGGUUGAAGGUUGGGUAACACUAACUGGAGGACCGAACCGACUAAUGUUGAAAAAUUAGCGGAUGACCUGUGGCUGGGGGUGAAAGGCCAAUCAAACCGGGAGAUAGCUGGUUCUCCCCGAAAGCUAUUUAGGUAGCGCCUCGUGAAUUCAUCUCCGGGGGUAGAGCACUGUUUCGGCUAGGGGGCCAUCCCGGCUUACCAACCCGAUGCAAACUGCGAAUACCGGAGAAUGUUAUCACGGGAGACACACGGCGGGUGCUAACGUCCGUCGUGAAGAGGGAAACAACCCAGACCGCCAGCUAAGGUCCCAAAGUCAUGGUUAAGUGGGAAACGAUGUGGGAAGGCCCAGACAGCCAGGAUGUUGGCUUAGAAGCAGCCAUCAUUUAAAGAAAGCGUAAUAGCUCACUGGUCGAGUCGGCCUGCGCGGAAGAUGUAACGGGGCUAAACCAUGCACCGAAGCUGCGGCAGCGACGCUUAUGCGUUGUUGGGUAGGGGAGCGUUCUGUAAGCCUGUGAAGGUGUGUCGUGAGGCAUGCUGGAGGUAUCAGAAGUGCGAAUGCUGACAUAAGUAACGAUAAAGCGGGUGAAAAGCCCGCUCGCCGGAAGACCAAGGGUUCCUGUCCAACGUUAAUCGGGGCAGGGUGAGUCGACCCCUAAGGCGAG
rnacentral:rRNA from 1 species